GGGUGCUACUAAGGGGUACGUGAAUAAACAUUUAAAACAAUUAGCGCCUAACGUUCUCAAUUACUAGUGGACCUGAAUGCCUCACGGCGCAAUCGAGAACGAAGCAGAAAAAAAGGAAGGACACAGCACACGAUGUUGCUCUGUGUGCAUCUUAUGAACAAAUAAAGUCUGUAAAUGACAUUUGUGGCGCCCCCCAUGGGUUGUGGUGAAAAUACUUUGGAAGACAUUCCUGCAUACAGUCCUCCUGUGGUAGGUGGUGAGGCUGUGACGAGCUGAGCUGAGCCGAGCGUCAAGCGGCGGAGGCUCUAUCGCGUCAACCCUGCGAAUGCUGGAAAUGGCACCGGUGUUCCCUGACAGCAGCAGCCUGCCUCCCUCUCUCUCGCUCUCUACCCUUCUCUCUCUCUCUCGCCUGCUCUCUAGCUCGCCCCCCACCUCUGCAUGUCUCCUGCCAUGUUGAGUGCGUGCAGGACGAGGAGUGGGGGGUGGAGGGACGUGAUGGGGACUCAGGGGGAUAAGAAAGCAAUUAGAAGACAGCGCCGCUUCCUUCCA